GCACAGGGAAGGGACACAGUGGGCCCGGGGCAACCAGCACAGCCCCUGCCUCCAGCACAACCCCUGCACCAGCCCCCACGAAAGGGGCUGAGUUUCUCCUGCAAAGUCUCCAGCCUGAGUUCUGGCCACUCCAGAGCCACGGGCACUGUCUCCACCUUGCCUGUGGUACAAAGCUUUGUUCCGUUUCUCUGGGAUCCCACAGGAGGGGGCCCUCCCAGUUGGGACUGGGAAUGUCUCAGGAACAGCCCUGGCCACCUGGGAAUCUUUAACUGGCAACAUGCCAGACGGCGGACACUUGGAAUGUUUCGACUGUGGCCCUUCUUGGUGGUGGGCAUUUCACUGUCUUCAAUUACAGGCACUUCAGCAAUGGACACCUCUGGAAGCCUUCGGCCGGGGACAUUUUAAUCAAUGGCAUUAGGGAAAAUCUUCAACUGGGACCGUUCUAAAGGAUGGACGAUUCUAGAACUCUUCAGCUGUGACUGUUCUAACGAGUGGGCCAUUCUGGGACUUUCCACCGCGGAACAAAGGACACCACGGGAGCUUCACGCUGGAAGCAACGGUCCCUCCCACGCUGGACCUUUGGUUAUUGGUACUUCUGAAACUCUCCCACUACGGCCAUCCGGAGAAAGUAUGAGAGUUCCAGAGGCGAUCGCCCGAUUUCUGAAAUUUCUUCGACUGUCACUACUAGAUGCCAGAGUCCAGGGGUCUCCCAGCCUCCUGUACUGCAGCUCAUACUGAAGCUUGCCCUUGAGGGCGAAGGACUCAUAAUUGGAGCUCCAGGAGAUGUUAUAAUGUCCCGAGAAGGUCACGGUCACGUUGAAAGGAGGAGAUGGUUUGACUAAAAGGAAAAAGCCAGAAAGAUAAGACGGAGAUUCAGGCUUUGAACAAGACCACCCUCCAGGACGUGUGGAUUCAGAUCUCUGUUAAAUAUUUGUUGGCACAGAAACUUCUCCUGCGUGAAUGCUCUCCAAGCCUCUGGCCUGGACCACUGGCUGUUUGGCGGCGCCCUGGCCUUGCCAGCCCUCCCUGCAAUCCAUCCCACUUGCACAGCAGCCAGAGGCAUAGUUAAAAACCCCCUGUCCCUCCCCUGCCUGAAACCCUGCGAUAGCUUCUCAUCACCACACAACAGAAUCGGGUCCCUGCCAAGCUCUCACCUCCUUUGCUUGUUAUUCUCCCUCAGGCUGGCUCACUCCCGCCACGGCCACACAGACCUCCUCACCAUUCCUCAAACUCACCAUCACUUCCUGCCUCAGGGCCUUUGCAUGUGCAGCGCCCGCUGCUUGGAAUGCCCUUUCAGCAG